CGAAAGCCUGACGGAGCAAUACCGCGUGAGGGAGGAAGGCUCUUGGGUCGUAAACCUCUUUUGUCAGGGAAGAAGCUCUGACGGUACCUGACGAAUCAGCAUCGGCUAACUCCGUGCCAGCAGCCGCGGUAAUACGGAGGAUGCAAGCGUUAUCCGGAAUUAUUGGGCGUAAAGCGUCCGCAGGUGGUUAAUCAAGUCUGCUGUCAAAGCGCGAGGCUCAACUUCGUAAAGGCAGUGGAAACUGAUUGACUAGAGUGCGGCAGGGGUAGAGGGAAUUUCCAGUGUAGCGGUGAAAUGCGUAGAUAUUGGAAAGAACACCGGUGGCGAAGGCGCUCUACUGGGCCUGCACUGACACUCAUGGACGAAAGCU
rnacentral:rRNA from 1 species